rnacentral:sRNA from 1 species
UGAGGAUUACAUUUGUUUUCAAUCACAAGAUAUUUUUAAAACAAGUAUUUUGGUGAACUUUUUUGUGGACUUGUUAACCUGUAUGUCAGUCUGCAACAUACCGUUAUUUUUAUUAUGUCACUUAUUGGCAGAUGUUGAUAUUUUUUUAUAUAGUGCCCCUAUAAGGUUAAGUGCUAUAUUAUUUUUAUGCGAAAGAGUUUAUAUCUAAUUUCAUAUCUCUGCCAAGGUAGUAGGCAAUUAUUGUAACGACCUCAAGCUGGUAACACUCCCUUACAUUUUUUUAUCUGUGCAACGGGCAUGUGAUAGUCGAAAUAGUCGACUUAAGCUUUUCCUGUUGAUCUUAAAUAAUUUAUGUUAGUAAUUUUCUCCUGUCCAUUUGGAUUCGCUCCGAUCUUUCUCGUGCAACCACAUGCAUUGGGCCUUUCAAUUGAAUCAAGAUUGAUAAGGAUCUAAAGGUCCUAUUUUGAACGUUCUUUAUCUGACAUAUUUGUAGGAAACACUUAACCAAAUCGUUCGGUUUUCCAAUUCAUUAGUGCGCAGUGUAUGAAAAUGUAAUUACUUGUGACGCUAUAAGCAACAUUUAGUUCAGUUCAAGAACUUAAAGAGCGUUUGAGAGAGAAUGCUUAAGGCAUGCGCAAUAGGUAAAUACUUGUCUCUUAAAUUUUUCCUGUCUUACCCACACUUGACUUUUUUCUGUAUACAUAAGCUUUUUAAUGGUGUACUAAAAACUAAAGUUCUAAGUGUGUAACAGUCAUCCGCACAAAAGCUUAUUUGCUGGUAGCUUCAUAAAAACGGAGCUAGGCGCAACAAAGAAUUUACCAAGUUGUAGUGUGGAUUUCAACGUUUUUUUUAUUCUCAGCAGAGCGCAAAUAAUUGUACAUAUGUAUAUAAAAAUUGAGUAUUUCAGACGAAAUUGACUAUUGGAAUAAACGUA